GUGGGGGGGGGUGGGUAUGAAUAACAGGAAGCCACCUGAGUUCCUUGCUUUAUUCUGGGUUAUUGUUUGUGGUAGUGAGUUUACAGAAGUCUGGCUCAUUAUUCCAGCUUAUUGCUAGUCGGGUUGAGCAGUUUUCUUUUUCCUCCUUCCGCCCUGGUUAUCCAGUACACAGUGGACCUGGAUCCCGUCCCUUGGAAGGUACGGUGCGGCACGUUCCGAAUGGGAUGCCAGUCCAUCACAGGGCAUACUCUCCGGCACGUAGUAUGUGUGAUUGAGAGAUGCCAGUGUACCCACGACCCCUCACAAAAAUCACGGAGUCACGCCACUUAGAGGAUGUUCACCCGGCUUUUAUACUUCGUGCCAAACAAACAAAUCAUAGAUAUAACAUGAAACCAUUUUUGUUUGAUAGAUUUCACAUAGCCAUCAUGUUCAGCUGUGUCAAACAAAUGAAAUACAAUUAUUUUAAUUAAUGCUAUAGUUUUAUCCAAAUAAAGUAGAGGAAAAAAUAUCUGGAAUUUAAUUUAUAUCUGUGAUUUGUUUAUUUGCUAUGAAGUAAAAAGCAGGGUGAACAUACUCUAAGUGUGGUGAUUGCGUGAUUUUUGCCAGUUGUUGUAAUCGCACAUAUUUUGGACUAUGGAUGGAAAUGACACACAGCCUGGGACAGGAGUCAGUCCCCCAGCUAUGGAGAUGUGAGCCUGCAGAGCUGCCCAGUAAUUCUUCCGGUAUAUUAAGGUAUUAUACUGUUACGAUGCAUUCCUUACGCAGGCGGUCCUCUGUAUUCGCAGGGGAUUGGUUUCAGGACCCCUGCUGAUACCAAAAUCCAUGGAUAUUCAAAUCUCUUAUGCAAAAUGGUUAAUCCAUCUCUAUAUUACUUAUAAUACCUAACACAAUACAAAUAAAAAAGGGAAAAUACACAAGCCAGAUAAAUGACUUGAUAAAGUAAAAUGCGGACGCUCCUCUACUUACGAAUGAUAUACGUUAGUAACUUGAAAGUUGUUAUUCAACAUCAUUUUAAGGGUAUAUGCAAGUACAAAGAACUAGGAUGCUGGGAGUUCGCACGCUAUGCUGCUGCGCGGCAGGAGUAGCGGCCAGAAGUUGUACUGGGCGGGGCUGAUGUGCAGAAAAAAAAGUGAUGUUGCGGACAGGAAACAGGAGCCCAACGAACACAAUUUGGACUGACGGUCCUCUUCGUUCGUAUGUCUGAAAGUUCGUAAGUAGAGGAGCGUCUGCAAUGUUUUUUCUGCCUUCACUCUGAAGCCUCAGGAUCAUAUAGUGAAUUAUAACCAGCCUCUUUCGUUAUUAGCAUCAUAAAGCAGUGAGGGUGAACAACAAAGGAGUGGAUCUCUGGCGUUCAGUCUCACCAGAACCGCAAACCAGAACGUCAGCAGCGGAAGAAAAUGAUUUAGUCACCCCCGCAUCUGGCUGAAUAUUAUGAUAGUCUACCCAAAUUUCACUUUCAGUGUAGUGCUCAGAACACAGCAAAUUCAGGUUUAGCUUUUUGGAACUUUCUGAUUUCUUCUAGUAUAAUUUCGAUCCACGGUUGUUUGAAUCUGCAGAUGCGUAAUUGCAGAUACGGAGAGCCUUGUUAUUAAUAUAUUGCUUUUGACUAAUCGACAUGCCACUAAUUUAUUGUUGUCAUUGGUGGAUGUUAAAGGUGUCCACUAAGCAGAAUUGUAGUUUUCCUGCUUGUGUGCUUAUGCAGGCUUCAGUCUAGCCCUUGAUAUGCAUAAUGAAUUCUUCCUCUGAUUAUGCAUAUGGUCUCCCACAAACAGUCUUGUGCUCUGUGAGGAAACUCUCAUUUUUAAACUGGAAGCUGAGCUGGGAAACACUGCUCGUCUUAGAUAAGAGAUCACUGGUUGUAUUGGUUUAAUGUUUGGUUUAUUGUGUCUAUAUGCAAAUGUAUAGAUGAUAAGUCAGCAGGCGUUAAAAUGCACACGGAUUUUGGUAAAAACUGUUACCUAUUGGAGCCGAGGAAAAAGUGAAAGUGAACUUUUAAUAUUUAGAGUCAAGACUAAAGGAAUUCCAAUGCCUAUGUAAACAACGACGCCUCAUUUGUAAUUCUUCAGAUCUCUCAUUCUCUCCUCCCCCAGGUCCCUUCCCCUUCCUCUGUUCCUCUCUGCUGCCUCUCUCCCUGCCCCCCCCCCCCCCCCCCCCCGUAUAAAUCCUCACUUUCUUCUUCCCUGCAGAUAAUGGAGUCAACAGCUUGUGAAAGUGACGCCGUGAAAAGCACAUGGGGAACUGAAUACGGGCCCAGAUUAGCAGCCUGUGAUAGCCGCCGUGGGCAACCGCCGGGCCAUUAUGGAGCUAAUCGGAUAAGGGCAGCAUCUCGUCCCGGCGUUACUCUCACAAGGGCACUUAAUAUGGCCGUGCGUGGUCCUGAACAUUUACCAAUGAAGACUUAAUAAACAGAUGCAUUAUCCCAGGAUUCGGUGAGGCGGGUGUACAGCACUUUGCCAACGUCUGACGCCCUCGGAAUAGGCGACAGCGCCAGCUUGCUGUGUGCAGCUUCAUGCCAUUAAUCUGCAAGUGAGUUCAGGGGAUUCCAGCUUAGGAAAAUGAUCAACUUUUCCACUCUUUAUUAUGCUUUUGUAUCAGCUCAUUACUACUCAUUACUGCAGUAUUGUAUUCACUGUCAUACUCUCCUCGAGUGAAUGCAGGCUCCUUCGGGAAGGAAGCCACACCUGAUGCGUCCUUAUAUAACCCUGAGCAGCCCCACAUUCAGUGUGAGGUAUUGUUAAUCCAUGUGGCUACUUACCAAGCAUCAAACCCUGUCCAGCGUCAUCUCCGCAGGACUGAUCCCCCCAGAUUCAUGAUUUACCUGCUCUGUGACCCCAACCUCUGUCUCCGCUGUUUUUGACUGCCUCAGAUACAAUAAAUCCUGGCAUACUCGGCCCUUGGCUCUGUCCUGAGUGUUUUCUGGCAUGACAUUCACACUGUAAUCAUUUUAAUGUAAGUUUUGGUUAAAUGCCACACUGUAAAAGGACUGAAUACUGUAUCCUGUCUCAAUUUAUUUUCUUUUUCAGCACAUAUGGAUAUGUCACUUCUGACAACAGAAAACAGAGUAAAUAAAACAUUUUUAGAUUGA